AUUGAACGCUGGCGGCAUACUUUACACAUGCAAGUCGAACGGCAGCGCGGGCUUCGGCCUGGCGGCGAGUGGCGAACGGGUGAGUAAUACAUCGGAACGUGCCCAGUAGUGGGGGAUAGCUCGGCGAAAGCCGGAUUAAUACCGCAUACGACCUGAGGGUGAAAGCGGGGGAUCUUCGGACCUCGCGCUAUUGGAGCGGCCGAUGGCAGAUUAGCUAGUUGGUGGGGUAAAGGCCUACCAAGGCGACGAUCUGUAGCUGGUCUGAGAGGACGACCAGCCACACUGGGACUGAGACACGGCCCAGACUCCUACGGGAGGCAGCAGUGGGGAAUUUUGGACAAUGGGCGAAAGCCUGAUCCAGCAAUGCCGCGUGUGUGAUGAAGGCCUUCGGGUUGUAAAGCACUUUUGGCGGGAACGAAAAGGACUGUGCCAAUACCACGGUUCGAUGACGGUACCCGCAGAAUAAGCACCGGCUAACUACGUG
rnacentral:rRNA from 1 species